GCUGGAUAGCUCACUUGGUAAAGCAUCGCGUUACGAAAGUGAAUAUCGCGGGUUCGAUCCCCGCUUCGUGCC